rnacentral:rRNA from 1 species
UGGGGAAUUUUGGACAAUGGGCGCAAGCCUGAUCCAGCCAUGCCGCGUGCGGGAAGAAGGCCUUCGGGUUGUAAACCGCUUUUGUCAGGGAAGAAAUCUUCUGAGUUAAUACCUCGGGAGGAUGACGGUACCUGAAGAAUAAGCACCGGCUAACUACGUGCCAGCAGCCGCGGUAAUACGUAGGGUGCAAGCGUUAAUCGGAAUUACUGGGCGUAAAGCGUGCGCAGGCGGUUUUGUAAGACAGAGGUGAAAUCCCCGGGCUCAACCUGGGAACUGCCUUUGUGACUGCAAGGCUUGAGUGCGGCAGAGGGGGAUGGAAUUCCGCGUGUAGCAGUGAAAUGCGUAGAUAUGCGGAGGAACACCGAUGGCGAAGGCAAUCCCCUGGGCCUGCACUGACGCUCAUGCACGAAAGCGUGGGGAGCAAACAGGAUUAGAUACCCUGGUAGUCCACGCCCUAAACGGUGUCAACUGGUUGUUGGGAAGGUUCCUUCUCAGUAACGUAGCUAACGC